rnacentral:rRNA from 1 species
UACGUAGGGUCCGAGCGUUGUCCGGAAUUACUGGGCGUAAAGAGCUCGUAGGUGGUUUGUCGCGUUGUUCGUGAAAACUCACAGCUCAACUGUGGGCGUGCGGGCGAUACGGGCAGACUUGAGUACUGCAGGGGAGACUGGAAUUCCUGGUGUAGCGGUGAAAUGCGCAGAUAUCAGGAGGAACACCGGUGGCGAAGGCGGAUCUCUGGGCCUUGCCUGACGCUGAGGCGCGAAAGCUAGGGGAGCGAACAGG